rnacentral:rRNA from 2 species
CAACUUUCAACAACGGAUCUCUUGGCUCUCGCAUCGAUGAAGAACGCAGCGAAAUGCGAUAAGUAAUGUGAAUUGCAGAAUUCAGUGAAUCAUCGAAUCUUUGAACGCACCUUGCACUCCUUGGUAUUCCGAGGAGUAUGCCUGUUUGAGUGUCAUG